UCAGUGAAAUUGAACUCGCUGUGAAGAUGCAGUGUACCCGCGGCAAGACGGAAAGACCCCGUGAACCUUUACUAUAGCUUGACACUGAACAUUGAGCCUUGAUGUGUAGGAUAGGUGGGAGGCUUUGAAGUGUGGACGCCAGUCUGCAUGGAGCCGACCUUGAAAUACCACCCUUUAAUGUUUGAUGUUCUAACGUGGACCCGUAAUCCGGGUUGCGGACAGUGUCUGGUGGGUAGUUUGACUGGGGCGGUCUCCUCCUAAAGAGUAACGGAGGAGCACGAAGGUUGGCUAAUCCUGGUCGGACAUCAGGAGGUUAGUGCAAUGGCAUAAGCCAGCUUGACUGCGAGCGUGACGGCGCGAGCAGGUGCGAAAGCAGGUCAUAGUGAUCCGGUGGUUCUGAAUGGAAGGGCCAUCGCUCAACGGAUAAAAGGUACUCCGGGGAUAACAGGCUGAUACCGCCCAAGAGUUCAUAUCGACGGCGGUGUUUGGCACCUCGAUGUCGGCUCAUCACAUCCUGGGGCUGAAGUAGGUCCCAAGGGUAUGGCUGUUCGCCAUUUAAAGUGGUACGCGAGCUGGGUUUAGAACGUCGUGAGACAGUUCGGUCCCUAUCUGCCGUGGGCGCUGGAGAACUGAGGGGGGCUGCUCCUAGUACGAGAGGACCGGAGUGGACGCAUCACUGGUGUUCGGGUUGUCAUGCCAAUGGCACUGCCCGGUAGCUAAAUGCGGAAGAGAUAAGUGCUGAAAGCAUCUAAGCACGAAACUUGCCCCGAGAUGAGUUCUCCCUGAGACUUAGAGUCUCCUGAAGGAACGUUGAAGACGACGACGUUGAUAGGCCGGGUGUGUAAGCGCAGCGAUGCGUUGAGCUAACCGGUACUAAUGAACCGUGAGGCUUAACCUUACAACGCCGAAG
rnacentral:rRNA from 1 species